rnacentral:rRNA from 1 species
CUCCCAAACCCAUGUGAACUUAUCUCUUUGUUGCCUCGGCGCAAGCUACCCGGGACCUCGCGCCCCGGGCGGCCCGCCGGCGGACAAACCAAAACUCUUGUUAUCUUAGUUGAUUAUCUGAGUGUCUUAUUUAAUAAGUCAAAACUUUCAACAACGGAUCUCUUGGUUCUGGCAUCGAUGAAGAACGCAGCGAAAUGCGAUAAGUAAUGUGAAUUGCAGAAUUCAGUGAAUCAUCGAAUCUUUGAACGCACAUUGCGCCCAUUAGUAUUCUAGUGGGCAUGCCUGUUCGAGCGUCAUUUCAACCCCUAAGCACAGCUUAUUGUUGGGAACCUACGGCUUCGUAGUUCCUCAAAGACAUUGGCGGAGUGGCAGUGGUCCUCUGAGCGUAGUAAUCUUUUAUCUCGCUUGCUGUUAGGUGCUGCCCCCCCGGCCGUAAAACCCCCAAUUUUU